rnacentral:rRNA from 1 species
GAUGAACGCUGGCGGCGUGCUUAACACAUGCAAGUCGAACGGUGAAGCAGAGCUUGCUCUGUGGAUCAGUGGCGAACGGGUGAGUAACACGUGAGCAACCUGCCCCUGACUCUGGGAUAAGCGCUGGAAACGGCGUCUAAUACUGGAUAUGAGCUGCGACCGCAUGGUCAGCAGUUGGAAAGAUUUUUCGGUCUGGGAUGGGCUCACGGCCUAUCAGCUUGUUGGUGAGGUAAUGGCUCACCAAGGCGUCGACGGGUAGCCGGCCUGAGAGGGUGACCGGCCACACUGGGACUGAGACACGGCCCAGACUCCUACGGGAGGCAGCAGUGGGGAAUAUUGCACAAUGGGCGAAAGCCUGAUGCAGCAACGCCGCGUGAGGGAUGACGGCCCUCGGGUUGUAAACCUCUUUUAGCAGGGAAGAAGCGAAAGUGACGGUACCUGCAGAAAAAGCGCCGGCUAACUACGUG